rnacentral:rRNA from 1 species
GACGAACGCUGGCGGCGUGCUUAACACAUGCAAGUCGAGCGGUAAGGCCCUUUCGGGGGUACGACGAGCGGCGAACGGGUGGAGUAACACGUGGGUGACCUGCCCUCAGCUCUGGGAGUAAGCCUGGGAAACCGGGUCUAAUACUGGAUAUGACUCCAUGACGCAUGUUGUGGGGUGGAAAGCCUUGUGCGGCUGAGGAUGGGCCCGCGGCCUAUCAGCUUGUUGGUGGGGGAUGGCCUACCAAGGCGACGACGGGUAGGCCGGCCUGAGAGGACGAUCAGCCACACUGGGACUGAGACACGGCCCAGACUCCUACGGGAGGCAGCAGUGGGGAAGUCUUGCGCAAUGCGCGAAAGCGUGACGCAGCAACACCGCGUGAGGGGAGAC